rnacentral:rRNA from 1 species
GGGUUGUGAGGUUAAGCGACUAAGCGUACACGGUGGAUGCCCUGGCAGUCAGAGGCGAUGAAGGACGUGCUAAUCUGCGAUAAGCGUCGGUAAGGUGAUAUGAACCGUUAUAACCGGCGAUUUCCGAAUGGGGAAACCCAGUGUGUUUCGACACACUAUCAUUAACUGAAUCCAUAGGUUAAUGAGGCGAACCGGGGGAACUGAAACAUCUAAGUACCCCGAGGAAAAGAAAUCAACCGAGAUUCCCCCAGUAGCGGCGAGCGAACGGGGAGCAGCCCAGAGCCUGAAUCAGUGUGUGUGUUAGUGGAAGCGUCUGGAAAGGCGCGCGAUACAGGGUGACAGCCCCGUACACAAAAAUGCACAUAUUGUGAGCUCGAUGAGUAGGGCGGGACACGUGGUAUCCUGUCUGAAUAUGGGGGGACCAUCCUCCAAGGCUAAAUACUCCUGACUGACCGAUAGUGAACCAGUACCGUGAGGGAAAGGCGAAAAGAACCCCGGCGAGGGGAGUGAAAAAGAACCUGAAACCGUGUACGUACAAGCAGUGGGAGCACGCUUAGGCGUGUGACUGCGUACCUUUUGUAUAAUGGGUCAGCGACUUAUAUUCUGUAGCAAGGUUAACCGAAUAGGGGAGCCGAAGGGAAACCGAGUCUUAACUGGGCGUUAAGUUGCAGGGUAUAGACCCGAAACCCGGUGAUCUAGCCAUGGGCAGGUUGAAGGUUGGGUAACACUAACUGGAGGACCGAACCGACUAAUGUUGAAAAAUUAGCGGAUGACUUGUGGCUGGGGGUGAAAGGCCAAUCAAACCGGGAGAUAGCUGGUUCUCCCCGAAAGCUAUUUAGGUAGCGCCUCGUGAAUUCAUCUCCGGGGGUAGAGCACUGUUUCGGCAAGGGGGUCAUCCCGACUUACCAACCCGAUGCAAACUGCGAAUACCGGAGAAUGUUAUCACGGGAGACACACGGCGGGUGCUAACGUCCGUCGUGAAGAGGGAAACAACCCAGACCGCCAGCUAAGGUCCCAAAGUCAUGGUUAAGUGGGAAACGAUGUGGGAAGGCCCAGACAGCCAGGAUGUUGGCUUAGAAGCAGCCAUCAUUUAAAGAAAGCGUAAUAGCUCACUGGUCGAGUCGGCCUGCGCGGAAGAUGUAACGGGGCUAAACCAUGCACCGAAGCUGCGGCAGCGACGCUUAUGCGUUGUUGGGUAGGGGAGCGUUCUGUAAGCCUGUGAAGGUGUGCUGUGAGGCAUGCUGGAGGUAUCAGAAGUGCGAAUGCUGACAUAAGUAACGAUAAAGCGGGUGAAAAGCCCGCUCGCCGGAAGACCAAGGGUUCCUGUCCAACGUUAAUCGGGGCAGGGUGAGUCGACCCCUAAGGCGAGGCCGAAAGGCGUAGUCGAUGGGAAACAGGUUAAUAUUCCUGUACUUGGUGUUACUGCGAAGGGGGGACGGAGAAGGCUAUGUUGGCCGGGCGACGGUUGUCCCGGUUUAAGCGUGUAGGCUGGUUUUCCAGGCAAAUCCGGAAAAUCAAGGCUGAGGCGUGAUGACGAGGCACUACGGUGCUGAAGCAACAAAUGCCCUGCUUCCAGGAAAAGCCUCUAAGCAUCAGGUAACAUCAAAUCGUACCCCAAACCGACACAGGUGGUCAGGUAGAGAAUACCAAGGCGCUUGAGAGAACUCGGGUGAAGGAACUAGGCAAAAUGGUGCCGUAACUUCGGGAGAAGGCACGCUGAUAUGUAGGUGAAGUCCCUUGCGGAUGGAGCUGAAAUCAGUCGAAGAUACCAGCUGGCUGCAACUGUUUAUUAAAAACACAGCACUGUGCAAACACGAAAGUGGACGUAUACGGUGUGACGCCUGCCCGGUGCCGGAAGGUUAAUUGAUGGGGUCAGCGCAAGCGAAGCUCUUGAUCGAAGCCCCGGUAAACGGCGGCCGUAACUAUAACGGUCCUAAGGUAGCGAAAUUCCUUGUCGGGUAAGUUCCGACCUGCACGAAUGGCGUAAUGAUGGCCAGGCUGUCUCCACCCGAGACUCAGUGAAAUUGAACUCGCUGUGAAGAUGCAGUGUACCCGCGGCAAGACGGAAAGACCCCGUGAACCUUUACUAUAGCUUGACACUGAACAUUGAGCCUUGAUGUGUAGGAUAGGUGGGAGGCUUUGAAGUGUGGACGCCAGUCUGCAUGGAGCCGACCUUGAAAUACCACCCUUUAAUGUUUGAUGUUCUAACGUUGACCCGUAAUCCGGGUUGCGGACAGUGUCUGGUGGGUAGUUUGACUGGGGCGGUCUCCUCCUAAAGAGUAACGGAGGAGCACGAAGGUUGGCUAAUCCUGGUCGGACAUCAGGAGGUUAGUGCAAUGGCAUAAGCCAGCUUGACUGCGAGCGUGACGGCGCGAGCAGGUGCGAAAGCAGGUCAUAGUGAUCCGGUGGUUCUGAAUGGAAGGGCCAUCGCUCAACGGAUAAAAGGUACUCCGGGGAUAACAGGCUGAUACCGCCCAAGAGUUCAUAUCGACGGCGGUGUUUGGCACCUCGAUGUCGGCUCAUCACAUCCUGGGGCUGAAGUAGGUCCCAAGGGUAUGGCUGUUCGCCAUUUAAAGUGGUACGCGAGCUGGGUUUAGAACGUCGUGAGACAGUUCGGUCCCUAUCUGCCGUGGGCGCUGGAGAACUGAGGGGGGCUGCUCCUAGUACGAGAGGACCGGAGUGGACGCAUCACUGGUGUUCGGGUUGUCAUGCCAAUGGCACUGCCCGGUAGCUAAAUGCGGAAGAGAUAAGUGCUGAAAGCAUCUAAGCACGAAACUUGCCCCGAGAUGAGUUCUCCCUGACUCCUUGAGAGUCCUGAAGGAACGUUGAAGACGACGACGUUGAUAGGCCGGGUGUGUAAGCGCAGCGAUGCGUUGAGCUAACCGGUACUAAUGAACCGUGAGGCUUAACCUUACAACGCCGAAG